AUGUAUGUAGUAUUACUUGGUAGUGGUUUACUCUGCUUUUCCAGGAAAAUAGUGUUAUCUAUGUAUGUAUGUAUGUAUGUAUGUAUGUAUGUAUGUAUGUAUGUAUUACUUGGUAGUGGUUUACUCUGCUUUUCCAGGUUGCAAAAAGGCAAUACUUGUCUGUGCUACUUGCAGUUUACUCCGCUCAUUCUACGGGUACUAAUAGGACCCAUUAGUACAUUCAGGUGGAUGGCAAGAGGACUAGAGGAUGCCUCAGGCGAGGGUGUCCAGCAAGCACUGUUAAAGAUAUUCGAAGGAACUGUAAUUGCCCAUGCUGUUUAG
rnacentral:rRNA from 1 species